rnacentral:misc_RNA from 1 species
GAUGAAGAACGUAGCGAAACGCGAUAAGUAAUGUGAAUUGUAGAAUCCAGUGAAUCAUCGAAUCUUUGAACGCACAUUGCGCCCGCCAGCAUUCUGGCGGGCAUGCCUGUUCGAGCGUCAUUUCAACCCUCGACCUCCCCUUGGGGAGGUCGGCGUUGGGGACCGGCAGCACACCGCCGGCCCUGAAAUGGAGUGGCGGCCCGUCCGCGGCGACCUCUGCGCAGUAAUACAGCUCGCACCGGGACCCCGACGCGGCCACGCCGUAAAACACCCAACUUCUGAACGUUGACCUCGAAUCAGGUAGGACUACCCGCUGAACUUAAGCAUAUCAAUAAGCGGAGGA